rnacentral:rRNA from 1 species
AGCGUACACGGUGGAUGCCCUGGCAGUCAGAGGCGAUGAAGGACGUGCUAAUCUGCGAUAAGCGUCGGUAAGGUGAUAUGAACCGUUAUAACCGGCGAUUUCCGAAUGGGGAAACCCAGUGUGUUUCGACACACUAUCAUUAACUGAAUCCAUAGGUUAAUGAGGCGAACCGGGGGAACUGAAACAUCUAAGUACCCCGAGGAAAAGAAAUCAACCGAGAUUCCCCCAGUAGCGGCGAGCGAACGGGGAGCAGCCCAGAGCCUGAAUCAGUGUGUGUGUUAGUGGAAGCGUCUGGAAAGGCGCGCGAUACAGGGUGACAGCCCCGUACACAAAAAUGCACAUGCUGUGAGCUCGAUGAGUAGGGCGGGACACGUGGUAUCCUGUCUGAAUAUGGGGGGACCAUCCUCCAAGGCUAAAUACUCCUGACUGACCGAUAGUGAACCAGUACCGUGAGGGAAAGGCGAAAAGAACCCCGGCGAGGGGAGUGAAAAAGAACCUGAAACCGUGUACGUACAAGCAGUGGGAGCACGCUUAGGCGUGUGACUGCGUACCUUUUGUAUAAUGGGUCAGCGACUUAUAUUCUGUAGCAAGGUUAACCGAAUAGGGGAGCCGAAGGGAAACCGAGUCUUAACUGGGCGUUAAGUUGCAGGGUAUAGACCCGAAACCCGGUGAUCUAGCCAUGGGCAGGUUGAAGGUUGGGUAACACUAACUGGAGGACCGAACCGACUAAUGUUGAAAAAUUAGCGGAUGACUUGUGGCUGGGGGUGAAAGGCCAAUCAAACCGGGAGAUAGCUGGUUCUCCCCGAAAGCUAUUUAGGUAGCGCCUCGUGAAUUCAUCUCCGGGGGUAGAGCACUGUUUCGGCAAGGGGGUCAUCCCGACUUACCAACCCGAUGCAAACUGCGAAUACCGGAGAAUGUUAUCACGGGAGACACACGGCGGGUGCUAACGUCCGUCGUGAAGAGGGAAACAACCCAGACCGCCAGCUAAGGUCCCAAAGUCAUGGUUAAGUGGGAAACGAUGUGGGAAGGCCCAGACAGCCAGGAUGUUGGCUUAGAAGCAGCCAUCAUUUAAAGAAAGCGUAAUAGCUCACUGGUCGAGUCGGCCUGCGCGGAAGAUGUAACGGGGCUAAACCAUGCACCGAAGCUGCGGCAGCGACGCUGAUGCGUUGUUGGGUAGGGGAGCGUUCUGUAAGCCUGUGAAGGUGUGCUGUGAGGCAUGCUGGAGGUAUCAGAAGUGCGAAUGCUGACAUAAGUAACGAUAAAGCGGGUGAAAAGCCCGCUCGCCGGAAGACCAAGGGUUCCUGUCCAACGUUAAUCGGGGCAGGGUGAGUCGACCCCUAAGGCGAGGCCGAAAGGCGUAGUCGAUGGGAAACAGGUUAAUAUUCCUGUACUUGGUGUUACUGCGAAGGGGGGACGGAGAAGGCUAUGUUGGCCGGGCGACGGUUGUCCCGGUUUAAGCGUGUAGGCUGGUUUUCCAGGCAAAUCCGGAAAAUCAAGGCUGAGGCGUGAUGACGAGGCACUACGGUGCUGAAGCAACAAAUGCCCUGCUUCCAGGAAAAGCCUCUAAGCAUCAGGUAACAUCAAAUCGUACCCCAAACCGACACAGGUGGUCAGGUAGAGAAUACCAAGGCGCUUGAGAGAACUCGGGUGAAGGAACUAGGCAAAAUGGUGCCGUAACUUCGGGAGAAGGCACGCUGAUAUGUAGGUGAAGCGACUUGCUCGUGGAGCUGAAAUCAGUCGAAGAUACCAGCUGGCUGCAACUGUUUAUUAAAAACACAGCACUGUGCAAACACGAAAGUGGACGUAUACGGUGUGACGCCUGCCCGGUGCCGGAAGGUUAAUUGAUGGGGUUAGCGCAAGCGAAGCUCUUGAUCGAAGCCCCGGUAAACGGCGGCCGUAACUAUAACGGUCCUAAGGUAGCGAAAUUCCUUGUCGGGUAAGUUCCGACCUGCACGAAUGGCGUAAUGAUGGCCAGGCUGUCUCCACCCGAGACUCAGUGAAAUUGAACUCGCUGUGAAGAUGCAGUGUACCCGCGGCAAGACGGAAAGACCCCGUGAACCUUUACUAUAGCUUGACACUGAACAUUGAGCCUUGAUGUGUAGGAUAGGUGGGAGGCUUUGAAGUGUGGACGCCAGUCUGCAUGGAGCCGACCUUGAAAUACCACCCUUUAAUGUUUGAUGUUCUAACGUGGACCCGUGAUCCGGGUUGCGGACAGUGUCUGGUGGGUAGUUUGACUGGGGCGGUCUCCUCCUAAAGAGUAACGGAGGAGCACGAAGGUUGGCUAAUCCUGGUCGGACAUCAGGAGGUUAGUGCAAUGGCAUAAGCCAGCUUGACUGCGAGCGUGACGGCGCGAGCAGGUGCGAAAGCAGGUCAUAGUGAUCCGGUGGUUCUGAAUGGAAGGGCCAUCGCUCAACGGAUAAAAGGUACUCCGGGGAUAACAGGCUGAUACCGCCCAAGAGUUCAUAUCGACGGCGGUGUUUGGCACCUCGAUGUCGGCUCAUCACAUCCUGGGGCUGAAGUAGGUCCCAAGGGUAUGGCUGUUCGCCAUUUAAAGUGGUACGCGAGCUGGGUUUAGAACGUCGUGAGACAGUUCGGUCCCUAUCUGCCGUGGGCGCUGGAGAACUGAGGGGGGCUGCUCCUAGUACGAGAGGACCGGAGUGGACGCAUCACUGGUGUUCGGGUUGUCAUGCCAAUGGCACUGCCCGGUAGCUAAAUGCGGAAGAGAUAAGUGCUGAAAGCAUCUAAGCACGAAACUUGCCCCGAGAUGAGUUCUCCCUGACUCCUUGA